CUCUCUUUCUGGAAGCCCUACUCAACGUCUCUCUUUGUCUGUAAAAAAUGGCUAUGAAGAAAAAUCGGGCAUAUAUCCCCCCAGAGGACCACGGCGUCGGACGAAAGCGCAGAACGAACACUGAUUCUUGAUGUCCGUUCCUCAUCAUGGUGGGACUCCUCUUCCCUGCCUGGAGCAACCAAUAUGACGGCUGUCUGAGCAGACACGCAGCCGGGGAAGAGGACGGGGCUCAACGUGAGGCAGCCUCGACUGACAGCGGCUCGGGCCAAUGGAGGACCGCGCUGGGGUGACUACUUCCUCCAGAGCGGAUAGGGAAUGCCCCGGCACAGGCUGGACUCAGGCGUGCCCGGCCACCAAUGGGUGUGAGGAGGGGGAGGAAGCUCUCCGCUGGCUGCUACUUGGAAACGUGGAGCCGCGAAGGGGAUACUGGUUCCUGUAUAUCCAGGCCAGGCCGAGGAUGAUACCAACAGGGGCGGUCCUAAGGCACUUUUACCAGGGGCCCCAGGGUGCGCCCAGGUUUUUCUGUUCUGUUUUUAUUUAUUUAUUUUUCAAUAAAUUUCAUGGUGGGCACAAAACAAAA